ACGCUCGACACCUACGGGAGGCAGCAGUGGGGAAUAUUGCACAAUGGGGGAAACCCUGAUGCAGCGACGCCGCGUGAGUGAAGAAGUAUUUCGGUAUGUAAAGCUCUAUCAGCAGGGAAGAAGAUGACGGUACCUGAGUAAGAAGCCCCGGNUAACUACGUGCCAACAGCGCGGUAAUCUGAGCGGGCUGGCAAGGC
rnacentral:rRNA from 1 species